AGAGCGAACGCUGGCGGCAGGCCUAACACAUGCAAGUCGAACGGACUCUUCGGAGUUAGUGGCGGACGGGUGAGUAACACGUGGGAACGUGCCUUUUGGUUCGGAAUAGCUCCUGGAAACGGGUGGUAAUGCCGAAUGUGCCCUUCGGGGGAAAGAUUUAUCGCCAUUAGAGCGGCCCGCGUCUGAUUAGCUGGUUGGUGAGGUAAAGGCUCACCAAGGCUACGACCAGUAGCUGGUCUGAGAGGAUGACCAGCCACAUUGGGACUGAGACACGGCCCAAACUCCUACGGGAGGCAGCAGUGGGAAUCUUGCGCAAUGGGCGAAAGCCUGACGCAGCCAUGCCGCGUGAAUGAUGAAGGUCUUAGGAUUGUAAAAUUCUUUCACCGGGGACGAUAAUGACGGUACCGGAGAAGAAGCCCGGCUAACUCGCGCCAGCAGCCGC
rnacentral:rRNA from 1 species